UGAAAAGAGAACAUAGCUAGAUCAGUUCCCUUUUCUCCGUCGUCUCUCCCUCCGGUAGGCGGCAGGGACAGCCGGCCGGCGACUCGGCGAGCGCCGCCCCUCCGCGCUCUCCCUUGCGGCGACCCAGGACGGGCUUCUCCUCUUCUCUCUCCUCCCGCCGCCUGCGCUGAUCUCCCGUGAGCACGGGCGCUGACGUCCUUCAUCCUCACCGGAUUUCUGGAGCUGAUCAAGCUAUCCAAACGCUUUCAAGCCACCUCGGAGCUAGCUCCCAUUGGAGUUGGAGUUAGGAGCUAGGACCUGGGAGUCGGAGCCCUGCGAAAUAUGGAUUCUUCGUCUUCGUCAUCUUCCACUCAGCCACAGGGCCAGCCAGAUUUUGACUACCUCUUUAAGCUUCUCCUCAUUGGCGAUUCGGGCGUCGGCAAGAGCAGCCUCCUUCUCCGCUUCACCUCUGACUCUUUUGAGGAUCUCUCGCCUACCAUAGGUGUGGACUUCAAGGUUAAGAUGGUUAACACAGCUGGCAAAAAUCUCAAACUUGCCAUCUGGGACACAGCUGGACAGGAACGGUUUAGGACCUUGACCAGUUCAUACUACAGAGGCGCACAGGGCAUUAUUAUGGUAUAUGAUGUCACUCGAAGGGAAACAUUCACCAAUCUUUCUGACAUAUGGGCUAAGGAAAUUGACCUCUAUUCUACAAACCAGGAUUGUAUAAAGAUGCUUGUUGGAAACAAAGUUGACAAGGAAAGUGAGAGAGCUGUCACAAAAAAAGAGGGCAUUGAAUUUGCCCGGGAAUACGGGUGUUUAUUUCUAGAAUGCAGUGCUAAAACCAAAGUGAAUGUUGAACAGUGUUUUGAGGAACUCGUCUUGAAGAUAUUGGACACACCAAGCCUCUUAGCUGAUGCAUCCUCGGGUGCAAAGAAGAACAUCUUCAAGCAGAAGCCGCCAAAAGCUGAUGCUGCCGCUAGCAGCUGCUGUUAACAUGCUGGCUUGAAUUCCGGCUGAGACGGCUGAUGAGAAGCUACCAAGUCAAAUGCCUCAAUGAGCAGUUAUGGAUUUGCAACCAGAACAUUGAGCAGUACAAGGUUGGGCAUGUCACAGGGGGAAGAGACUGUCUUGGAACGACACAAUGGAUUGGAAGGAGCAGGGUCUCAUUGCCAGGAUGUUGAUGCCUUGGCCUUGUGGUUGAUGAUGGUGGCGCUACUGCUAGGAGGAAUGGAGGAUGAAGACUUUUCCAAGUUCAACUGUUGCUGCUGCGUGGACAUGAACAUUGUCAAGCCAAUACAUAUGAAGAUGGUUCCAUGAUAAUACAUCUGCUAAAAUGGAAGGUGAAUAGAACAAUACAAGGAGGAGCAGUAGCAUGUUUUAGAUAAUGGAUAGAAAUCGGGCAUCUAUAACCAUAAGUGAAUAAAAUAUAUGCAGCAAAAAAAAGCCCCUCCAUUCCUGUGAAUGAAAAAUAGAAUUCCUCAAGUUGUGGAAAUUUUUCUUAGAAAUGUAGAAAAAGAAUGCUAGGAAGACUAAGGUCGUGUUCGGCAACGCAACAAGUUAACUUAUCUCUCUUGUUUUUUGCAUGUAUGUUUUCUGAACUGAUAAA